rnacentral:snoRNA from 1 species
GGCCGGCCCUAUCGAAGCUGUGUCUGCCUGGGUCCUGUGGCAGAUGCAGUCAAAAAGGAGCCGAGAGCGAAGUUUUUUUUUUUCCUUGACGGUCGCCGCUCAGUUUGAGCCUCGGUAACUGUCCGGCAACAUUUCGGGAAAAUACACGG